GUUUGCGUGACCGAGAUGGCUUAUGGUAUCGCUCUGCUAAAGCGAAGCACGGCUAAACUGUGCCGAAGGUUCGAAUCCUUCCGCAAACG
rnacentral:tRNA from 3 species